UGUAAAGGUGAAAAUGACGGGAAAUAAAAUCUUCCAGGAGAUCUGGUCCAUAUGCUACUGCUCACCGUGGCUGGAGUCUCAGAUCCAACCAUUGUGCUGGCUGCCUGCUGCCCAGACUGAGUGGGGUGAACUCAGGACAGAGCCUUGUUUUUGGCAUGAAUGCCUCUGCCUUCCCUUGCUGACACAUUCCCUCCACCACUCAAGAAUGCUCAGCGGCCUCUGCCAGGUUGAGAAUGCCUGGCUAUGACAGCACCAUUUGCAAAGUAAAGAGUCUAUUUAUGAAGAUAAUGGCAAAGCCCAGACCAGGCCCACUGUGGGAGAAUCUUGGCUCGUAAUUAGCAAGAACAGUGCAUUUUAAUGAGGAUGCCUGGUAGGCAGUCGGCUCCUGCCCGGACUGCCAACGAAUCUGGGGCAGAGGGAGUGUUGGCAGCGAGGCCAAGGAGCAGGUGAGGGGAACAACAUAGAAGAAAAUUCGCUCAUCUUUCGGGAGCUUGAACGCUUUAGGAUUGUUUCAUUUCCCCAUUACCCUGGCUGUCGUCCCUUGGGUUGUUUCUCUGGAAGCAAACAGCUCAGAGAAGAUCUAUCAGACCUGGUAACUAGCAAUCCCAAGCAUUGCUGAAGUGAGAGGCAAAGGCCUAAGGGUCUUGGGGUGGAGGCUCAGAAAUGUGGGCAUUUUAUUUUCCCUGAAAGGCAAUUAGGCCAUUGCUAUGAAGCCUGUGGAGAAGCUGGAAGCUCAAAGCCUUCUGAAGAGAAUAGCUAUGGCGUUUGAAGCUGUGAACCCUGGUGGGGGUGAUGUUAUUACCAAGGUUGGCUUAAGCCAGACCUUUGAGCUUUGUUGCUGGAGGUUGACAAACUACUGCUGAGGGGCAUGACCUAAGGAAAAUGGAACUUCUCGGCCUCUCUGUUAUUUCAGAGUUCCGGCUCAGGGCGAGUGGGCUUCCCAUCGAACAGGAUGAAUGUCCAUGUGUAGCGGUUGUACCAAUGACACUCUCUCACGCCCCUCCUUUUCUGGCCUGGCAAGGACACCUCUAGAAUGAAGAACAAUUUUCCCUUUGCACUCUGAAAGGAAAAUUAACACAGCAAGACCUUUAACACUGAGCGCCAACAGCUGUGAGAGAUGGCUCAGCAGUUAAAAGCACUGGCUGUUCAUUCAGAAGACCUGAGUUCAAUUCCCAGCAUCCAAAGGUGGCUCACAACUGCUUGGAUCUCCAGUUUCAGGUAACCUGACACUUCCUUGGAAACACCUAUACAAUUGAUAUAUACAUCAUAGACAUCAUACAGACACAUACACAUACACAUACAUAUAUACAUUUUAUUCCAGGGGCAAAGGCAAGAUUGGGGACCUGUAGCUAUUGCUUUGAACAAACUGAAUUGGAGAUGAACAGGCUGAGAGAAUCCACGAGCUUCUCGGUUGCUCAGUCCAUGAGGUGAUCUGCUGGAAUCCUGAAGAAGCGAUUUUAAUACUGGGGAAGGAAUGCCUCGGUAACAGGAUGCCUCGUUAAGAGCAUACCUGAAUUUGCCAGCAAGAUUGAAAGCAAGCAGGCAAAAGGCUUCAGCGUAGCAGGGAACUAGGUUUGCUAAUACUCUGAGAAUGCUAGUUGACCUAGAAAAGACAAGCCUGAAUCGUUAAAAUCCAUUCCCAUGGGCCGUACAGAAGGAUGGAGAGAUUGGUCAGUGGUGGCUGCUCUGAGGGAUGGACUGGAAGACCAGAACCAGAUUGCCUCUCCGGGUCACAGAUUGUUGUCUGAAGACUAGGAGGGGGCUCAAUGAUCUAUGUUGGAAGAGCAUACCCUCACUGAAUACAGAAUAGCCAGGUUGAAGCCUAAUGUGGAACUCAAAUCCUGCCUGUUAGUCCCUAUUUGAGGACUUGGAAAAGACAAUGGGGAGAAGUCACCAAUUGUUGUCUUGUUAUGAGGACCUGGCCAUUGCAGCAGGUUGGUUCCAGAGAGGAAGACAGAUACUCAGUCUGAAACGUUAGCUGGGGAAAAUGGGAAUCAAUUAAAACUAUGCACGUGUUUCA